GCAAACUGCUAUGUACAGCGCAUGUGCGGUGCCGCAUGCAUGCACUGUAUGUAGUGACACCGCACAUGCGCUGUACAUAGUGGUUUGCUGCU